UACGGGGGGGGUAAGCGUUGUUCGGAAUUACUGGGCGUAAAGGGCUCGUAGGCGGCCAACUAAGUCAUACGUGAAAUCCCUCAGCUUAACUGGGGAACUGCGUGUGAUACUGGAUGGCUUGGAUUUGGGAGAGGGAUGCGGAAUUCCAGGUGUAGCGGUGAAAUGCGUAGAUAUCUGGAGGAACACCGGUGGCGAAGGCGGCAUCCUGGACCAAUAUUGACGCUGAGGAGCUAAAGCCAGGGGAGCAAACGGG
rnacentral:rRNA from 1 species